rnacentral:tRNA from 1 species
GGUUGUGGCUCAGUGGUAAAGCGUUUGCCUAGCAUACAUGAGGCACUGGGUUCGAUUCUCAGCACUA